UACAGAGGUGGCAAGCGUUGUUCGGAAUUACUGGGCGUAAAGGGCGCGUAGGCGGCCAUCUAAGUCAGACGUGAAAUCCCCCGGCUCAACCUGGGAACUGCGUCUGAUACUGGACGGCUUGAGUAUGGGAGAGGGAUGUAGAAUUCCAGGUGUAGCGGUGAAAUGCGUAGAUAUCUGGAGGAAUACCGGUGGCGAAGGCGGCAUCCUGGACCAUUACUGACGCUGAGGCGCGAAAGCUAGGGGAGCAAACGGG
rnacentral:rRNA from 1 species